rfam:Lepisosteus oculatus linkage group LG7, whole genome shotgun sequence.
AGCAUUAAGGUGGGUGGAAUAAUAUAACAAUAUUCUCUAUGUUGUUAUAGUAUUCCACCUACCCUGAUGUU